AGAGUUUGAUCAUGGCUCAGAUUGAACGCUGGCGGCAUGGCUAAAACAUGCAAGUUGAACGACCUCUUCGGAGGGAGUGGCGAAAGGGCGAGGAAUAUAAUCGAAUGUACCCCAAGGUAAAGGAUAGCUUCUGGAAACGGAAGGUAAUACUUUAUGUGCUCUACGGAGGAAAGGUUUACCGCCUUGGGAGCGGCGAUUAUCCUAUCAGGUAGUUGGUGAGGUAAAGGCUCACCAAGCCGAAGACGGGUAGCGGGUGUGAGAGCAUGACCCGCCGCAUCGGGACUGAGACACUGCCCGGACUCCUACGGGAGGCUGCAGUAACGAAUCUUCCGCAAUGGGCGAAAGCCUGACGGAGCAAUGCCGCGUGUAGGAUUAAGCAUCUUCGAUGUGUAAACUACUGUCAAUGACUAGAAACAACGAUCAGUCAUAAAGGAAGGACCGGCUAAUUCAGUGCCAGCAGCCGCGGUAAUACUGAAGGUCCAAGCGUUAAUCGGAAUCACUGGGCUUAAAGCGUACGCAGGCGGAUUUGUAGGUAUUUUGUGAAAUCCCACGGCUCAACCGUGGAACUGCAGAGUAAACCACAAAUCUUGAGACAAGUAGGGGUCAGUGGAACUAUGAGUGGAGCGGUGAAAUGCGUAGAUAUUCAUGGGAACGCCAAUGGCGAAGGCAACUGACUGGGCUUGUUCUGACGCUCAGGUACGAAAGCGUGGGUAGCGAACGGGAUUAGAUACCCCGGUAGUCCACGCCGUAAACGAUGCACACUAGGUCGCGGAGCCUCUCACGGUCUCGCGGCCGAAGGUAAACUGAUUAGUGUGCCGCCUGGGGGAGUACGGUCGCAAGGCUAAAACUCAAAUGAAUUGACGG
rnacentral:rRNA from 1 species